UGAAUGGUUUGACGAGAGCUAUGCUGUCUCUUUUAGAAUAUUUAAAAAUUAACUUUUAGGUGAAGAGGCCUAAAUUUGUUUAAGGGACAAGAAGACCCUGUUGAGCUUUAGUAAAAUUAUAAGUGUAAUAGAACUUGUGUGGCUUGCUGUACUAGUUAUUAUGUAGUUGUUAUAAUAAUAGGCUUGUAAUUAAUCUUUAGUUGGGGCGACUGAGGAACAUGUAAAGCUUCCUUGUUUUACGUAUAUUAAUGUUAUGUUGUAAGUUUUAAAUGUUUUUGUAUUAUUUUGAUCCAAUUUGUUUUGAUUAAAAGAAAAAGUUACCACAGGGAUAACAGCGUAAUCUUUCUGGAGAGAUCUAAUCAAAAGAAGGGUUUGCGACCUCGAUGUUGGACUAAGAUAUCCUAAGGGUGCAGAAGCUCUUAAAGGUUGGUCUGUUCGACCAUUAAAAUCUU
rnacentral:rRNA from 1 species